rnacentral:rRNA from 1 species
GAUGAACGCUAGCUACAGGCUUACCACAUGCAAGUCGAGGGGAAACGGGAGGAUAGCUUGCUAUCCUCGCCGUCAACCGGCGCACGGGUGAGUAACGCGUAUCCAACCUGCCAUCCAGCGAAGGAUAGCCUUUCAAAAGAAAGGAUAAUACUCCAUGACCUCCUCAAAGGACAUCUGACAAGGAGCAAAAAUUCAUCGCUGGGUGAUGGGGAUGCGUCUGAUUAGGCAGUUGGCGGGGUAACGGCCCACCAAACCGACAAUCAGUAGGGGUUCUGAGAGGAAGGUCCCCCACAUUGAAACUGAAACACGGUCCAAACUCCUACGGGAGGCAGCAGUGAGGAAUAUUGGUCAAUGGACGGAAGUCUGAACCACCCAAGUAGCGUGCAGGAUGACGGCCCUAUGGGUUGUAAACUGCUUUUAUGCGGGGGUAAAGUGAGUGACGUGUCAUUCAUUGCAAGUACCGCAAGAAUAAGGACCGGCUAAUUCCGUG